rnacentral:rRNA from 1 species
AACGAACGCUGGCGGCAGGCUUAACACAUGCAAGUCGAACGAGAUCUUCGGAUCUAGUGGCAGACGGGUGAGGAACACGUGGGAACAUCCCUUUCAAUUCGGAAUAACGUUGGGAAACUAACGCUAAUACCGGAUACGUCCUUCGGGAGAAAGAUUUAUCGCUGAAAGAUUGGCCCGCGUCUGAUUAGCUAGUUGGUGAGGUAACGGCUCACCAAGGCUACGAUCAGUAGCUGAUCUGAGAGGAUGAUCAGCCACAUUGGGACUGAGACACGGCCCAAACUCCUACGGGAGGCAGCAGUGGGGAAUAUUGGACAAUGGGCGCAAGCCUGAUCCAGCCAUGCCGCGUGAGUGAUGACGGCCUUCGGGUUGUAAAGCUCUUUUGUCCGGGAAGAUAAUGACUGUACCGGAAGAAUAAGCCCCGGCAAACUUCGUGCCAGCCGCCGCCUAA